GUUCUCCAAAGCAGCACACAGACUAGAACUGGAACAUACAGAGGAGAUUAGCAUGGCCCCUGCGCAAAGAUGGCACCCAAAUCAGUGAAGUGUUCCAGAUUUUU